UGGGGCGCGCGGCGCGCUGAUUGGCCCCGGGCGGAAAUGGGAGGGGAGCGACCGAGGUGAUAUAAAGGGCGGCGCGGCGCGUGCCUCUGCGGUGUGGCGGCGGCGGGCAAGGUGGAGAGCAAACCAACUGCCUUACGACAGUCAUCUUCAGUUUGGUACUGGUUUGUGACCCAAGAAAGGAUUUUCCCACUGACUGAGCUGAAGUAAGACAGAGGGGCUUGUCCUGAAAGUGAAGUAAGACUUUGAGUUCCAAGGAGGGGACAUGCCAGCUCUCAUUCUCAGAAGGGUCAAACUCAAAGUACAUCCAUUCAUAGUCACCUUCAGUCACCCCUAUACGUAGGGUCUGAAUGCAUUUUCAACAUGAGAUUGUCACCUGCAGG